CGAGGCUGUCAUCAGGCCGGCCAUGGUGGUGAGAAGGCACAUCCCUGUACACACGCAUGUGGUGUGUGCACAUCUUUGCAAAGGGCAUGAUGUGAAAAACUGGCAGUGAGAAUGAGUGAGUGAUCUGAGAUACACUUUGCAGGAAGAACUUACAUGACGAAGGAAGAAGGAGGAAACGAAGAUGGUGUCCACUUUCCCCGCCAGUGGACGAAGUGGGUGGUGACACUUUCGACCAAGCUGAGGAAUCAGAGGAGGAAUACAGUUUGUAGCUGUUGAGCUGGAGGUGGCCAGGGUAAGGAGGCCAGGCAGUAAGGGACAAGUGGGGUUGAGGUUCAGGCAAGAAGUUUAGGGUGGGAAUCCAGGUCUGGAAGUCCCAGAGACUAUGUGAAGCCGCAGGAAGAGCCCAAGGAGCGUCUGGAGUGAGUGAAGAGAAACGGGAAUGGGUGCGACCCUGGAACUGCCAGUCUAUAAAGAGUGGGCAGAUGGGGAAAGCUAAUACAGAGAUGGAGGAGGGAAGAGUUAUCAGAAAAGCAGGUAAAAUAACUUCAAGAAUGGACAACUAAGAGAGUCAAGGGAGAAGAGCUACAGAAAGGAAAGGAUCAAUGAGAAAAGUGACCUGACCUCCUCAAUGGGUCAUUGAAGAAUCUACAAGAAUUAACAACUCCUCCCCUACGCCCCUUUACCCAAUACAUUUACCCAUUAAUGCACCAACAUGGUCUGACUGCUGCUACUUGUUUUCCUACCUGUGUCCCUCUACCCAGCUAUAAGCAACCUCAUGCCCCCUCCCCAACCAGGGCAGAGAUCAUGCCCUAUUUACCUUUAUGUUCUACAAACUUAGCAUAAUUCCUGCUUCAUAGCAGGUGCCCAAUGAAGUCUUGUUGAAAACAAUCCCUUUUCUUGAGGAAAGAACUAAGGUCACUUUCUGAGAGUGAAGGGGUAAGAACAGGGUGAGAACUUGAGAAAAGGAGUUACGUUCAGAAAUAACCAUGCUGGGGAGUGGGAAGGCGGCUGGCUAAGGCUCCAUAUAAGGAGCGUUGGGUAAAAGUCUGCACCAGGGGAGACAGGGAUGUUUUAUCACAUUAGCUGAAGAACAGCAUUAGCAGCAAUGAGGUAAUGAAGCAUGCACACCCUAGGAAGAGAAAGAAAAAAUCCAAGAUGAGGCUCUCGAGAGAUCUGAUAGUUGCCAAGAAGUCUUCAAAGACUUCCUCUCACGCGCGGUCCCAAGGUCAGGACAGCCGCAGCCCCUCACCAUCCGCAGACGGGCUCUUCAGUGAAUCAGAGAAUGUGAUGCAUGUGCUGUGACCGCCUCCUCCUAGUCACCUGGCACAGGAACAAUGAGGACACCCCCUCUGCUGGGAGAAGGUCACAGUCCAAGAUGACAGGAACUGCCAGAGAGGUAUGCGGCACACCAGGUACACACAGGCGAAGAGACGUGAGAGUUUCCAGGAAAGGAAGUGGUCCUAGCUGUGGUAAAAGGUACUGAGGCACUGGGUCAGAGCAGGACCUUCAGAAGAGUCUUGGAUUUGGCACCACGGAAGUUACCUGCGACGUGGACAGGAACGUCUUAGAAAGAGUCCUCAGCAGAGUGAGGAAGUGGAUACAGACACUGUAAAUGACUCUGCUGAGAAUUUUGCUAGAAAAGAGAGAAAUAGAAGCUGAAAGGGGAUGUGGGGCCAAAGGAGGGUUUUUGUUUGUUUGUAUGUUAUGUUCUGUCUUGUUUUAAGAGGAGAGACAGGCAAGGGAUUAGUAUUCCGGAGGGAAUGAUCUAGAAGGGCUGCCGAUGCAGGAAGGACUGUCCUUAUGAGAGUGAAGCCAGCCCUCAAUGGUGGAGUGAUUUUCCUGCCCAAGUGAAAGCAGGCACUACCACACCUAGAAAAUAUUCAGGCCCGAAUUAAAUAUUCUAAGACAAAUCUUUUAACUUCUGUAAUAAAAAUACAAAGUCUGA